GAUGAACGCUGGCGGCGUGCCUAAUACAUGCAAGUCGAGCGAAUGGAUUAAGAGCUUGCUCUUAUGAAGUUAGCGGCGGACGGGUGAGUAACACGUGGGUAACCUGCCCAUAAGACUGGGAUAACUCCGGGAAACCGGGGCUAAUACCGGAUAACAUUUUGAACCGCAUGGUUCGAAAUUGAAAGGCGGCUUCGGCUGUCACUUAUGGAUGGACCCGCGUCGCAUUAGCUAGUUGGUGAGGUAACGGCUCACCAAGGCAACGAUGCGUAGCCCCACUGAGAAGGUGAGCUGCCAGACUGCGCCCGAGACACGGCCCAGAUUCCGACGGUAGGCAGCCGUACGGAUUCUUCCGCAAUGGACGAAACUCUGACCGAGCAACGCCGCGUGAGUGAUGAAGGCUUUCGGGUCGUAAACCUCUGUUGUUAGGGAAGAACAAGUGCUAGUUGAAUAAGCUGGCACCUUGACGGUACCUAACCAGCAAGCCACGGCUAACUACGUGCCAGCCGCCGCAGUAA
rnacentral:rRNA from 1 species